rnacentral:sRNA from 1 species
AGACUGGUAAUUUAACGUAUCACACAGAGCCCCAAUAUUAGCCAGGGUGCCCUUUAAAAGGGGUUGGCUAAUAGGCAAUGUGGAAGUCUUAAC